UAGUGAGUUUGAUCCUGGCUCAGGGUGAACGCUGGCGGCGUGCCUAAGACAUGCAAGUCGAACGCAGUAGCUUGCUACUGAGUGGCGCACGGGUGAGUAACACGUAACUGACCUGCCCCGAAGUCUCGCAUAACAGCCCGAAAGGGCUGCUAAUUCGGGAUGUGAACCCGCACUGUGGUGCGUGUUUAAAGAUUCAUCGCUUCGGGAUGGGGGUUGCGGCGCAUCAGCUUGUUGGUGAGGUAAA
rnacentral:rRNA from 1 species